AUUGAACGCUGGCGGCAGGCCUAACACAUGCAAGUCGAACGAGUGGCGGACGGGUGAGUACUGUCUGGGAAACUGCCUGAUGGAGGGGGAUAACUACUGGCAACGGUAGCUAAUACCGCAUACCAUCGGAUGUGCCCAGAUGGGAUUAGCUAGUAGGUGGGGUAAAGGCUCACCUAGGCGACGAUCCCUAGCUGGUCUGAGAGGAUGACCAGCAAAACGGGAACUGAGAACCGGUCCAGCUUCCUACGGGAGGCAGCAGGGGGGAAGAUUGCACAAUGGGCGAAAGCCGGAUGCAGCAAUGCCGCGUGUAUGAAGAAGGCCUUCGGGUUGUAAAGUACUUUCAGCGGGGAGGCGUUACCCGCAGAAGAAGCACCGGCUAACUCCGUGCAAGCAGCCGCGGUAAUA
rnacentral:rRNA from 1 species